UACGUAGGGGGCGAGCGUUGUCCGGAAUUAUUGGGCGUAAAGGGUUCGCAGGCGGAAAUGCAAGUCAGAUGUAAAAGGCAGGGGCUAAACUACUGAAAGCAUUUGAAACUGCAUAUCUUGAGAAGAGUAGAGGUAAGUGGAAUUUUUAGUGUAGCGGUGAAAUGCGUAGAUAUUAAAAAGAAUACCGGUGGCGAAGGCGACUUACUGGGCUGAUACUGACGCUGAGGAACGAAAGCGUGGGUAGCAAACAGG
rnacentral:rRNA from 1 species